rnacentral:rRNA from 1 species
ACUCCUGCGGGAGGCAGCAGUGGGGAAUUUUGGACAAUGGGCGAAAGCCUGAUCCAGCAAUGCCGCGUGAGUGAAGAAGGCCUUCGGGUUGUAAAGCUCUUUUGUCAGGGAAGAAACGGUGAAAGCUAAUAUCUUUUGCUAAUGACGGUACCUGAAGAAUAAGCACCGGCUAACUACGUGCCAGCAGCCGCGGUAAUACGUAGGGUGCAAGCGUUAAUCGGAAUUACUGGGCGUAAAGCGUGCGCAGGCGGUUUUGUAAGUCUGAUGUGAAAUCCCCGGGCUCAACCUGGGAAUUGCAUUGGAGGCUGCAAGGCUAGAAUCUGGCAGAGGGGGGUAGAAUUCCACGUGUAGCAGUGAAAUGCGUAGAUAUGUGGAGGAACACCGAUGGCGAAGGCAGCCCCCUGGGUCAAGAUUGACGCUCAUGCACGAAAGCGUGGGGAGCAAACAGGAUUAGAAACCCCAGUAGUCCC